UAACCCAUCAAUAAAAUGCCAACUUCAAAAAGAUAGAAAAAAGACAGGAACAAAAAGGAUUGCAAGAACGAAAGCAGUAGAGUUAGAGAUUGCAAGAGGUUAGAGUACCACAAACCAAAAUGGGAAGUCGGAGGUACAAUCAAUUUGGCUCU